rnacentral:lncRNA from 1 species
GUUUGAGGUUUAAUAAUUCUUUGUUUACUUAUUUUAAAUUCUCAUAACUUUCUUCCUGGAUUAUUGCUAUCCAUGAAAUUUGGCAGAAAGAGACUCCUUUCUCUCCGAUUUACAACGGUGUAACGCACUUAAUUUAAUAUCAACCCUAGCACUUUCUAUGAAUAAAAAUAGGUUUGAGGUUAGAUUGAUAUUUAUUUCCAACAUAAAAAUGCUCAUAACUUUCUUCCUGGAUCAUUGCUAUCCAUGAAAUUUGGCAGAAAGAGACUCCUUUCUCUCCCAUUUACAACGGUGUAACUCACUUAAUUUAAUAUCAACUCUACCACUUUCUAUGAAUAAAAAUAGGUUUGAGGUUUAAUAAUUCUUUGUUUACUUAAUUUAAAUGCUCAUAACUUCCUUCCUGGAUCAUGGCUAUCCAUGAAAUUUGGCAGAAAGAGACUCCUUUCUCUCCGAUUUACAACGGUGUAACGCACUUAAUUUAAUAUCAACCCUAGCACUUUCUAUGAAUAAAAAUAGGUUUGAGGUUAGAUUGAUAUUUAUUUCCAACAUAAAAAUGCUCAUAACUUUCUUCCUGGAUCAUUGCUAUCCAUGAAAUUUGGCAGAAAGAGACUUCUUUCUCUCCCAUUUACAACGGUGUAACUCACUUAAUUUAAUAUCAACUCUACCACUUUCUAUGAAUAAAAAUAGGUUUGAGGUUUAAUAAUUCUUUGUUUACUUAUUUCAAAUGCUCAUAACUUCCUUCCUGGAUCAUGGCUAUCCAUAAAAUUUGGCAGAAAGAGACUCCUUUCUCUCCGAUUUACAACGGUGUAACGCACUUAAUUUAAUAUCAACCCUAUCACUUUCUAUGAAUAAAAAUAGGUUUGAGUUUUAAUAAUUCUUUGUUUACUUAAAUCAAAUGCUCAUAACUUUCUUCCUGGAUCAUUGCUAUCCAUGAAAUUCGGCAGAAAGAGACUUCUUUCUCUCCCAUUUACAACGCUGUAAUGCACUUAAUUUAAUAUUAACCCUAGCACUUUCUAUGAAUAAAAAUAGGUUUGAGGUUAGAUUGAUAUUUAUUUCCAACAUAAAAAUGCUCAUAACUUUUUUCCUGGAUCAUUGCUAUCCAUGAAAUUUGGCAGAAGGAGACUCCUUUUUCUCCCAUUUACAACGGUGUAACUCACUUAAUUUAAUAUCAACUCUACCACUUUCUAUGAAUAAAAAUAGGUUUGAGGUUUAAUAAUUCUUUGUUUACUUAUUUUAAAUGCUCAUAACUUUCUUCCUGGAUUAUUGCUAUUCAUGAAAUUUGGCAGAAAGAGACUCCUUUCUCUCCCAUUUACAACGGUGUAACGCACUUAAUUUAAAAUUAACCCUAGAACUUUCUAUGAAUAAAAAUAGGUUUGAGGUUAGAUUGAUAUUUAUUUCCAACAUAAAAAUGCUCAUAACUUUCUUCCUGGAUUAUUGCUAUCCAUGAAAUUUGGCAGAAAGAGACUCCUUUCUCUCCCAUUUACAACGGUGUAACGCACUUAAUUUAAAAUCAACCCUAGAACUUUCUAUGAAUAAAAAUAGGUUUGAGGUUAGAUUGAUACUUAUUUCCAACAUAAAAAUGCUCAUAACUUUCUUCCUGGAUCAUUGCUAUUCAUGAAAUUUGGCAGAAAGAGACUCCUUUCUCUCCCAUUUACAACGGUGUAACUCACUUAAUUUAAUAUCAACUCUACCACUUUCUAUGAAUAAAAAUAGGUUUGAGUUUUAAUAAUUCUUUGUUUACUUAAAUUAAAUGCUUAUAACUUUCUUCCUGGAUCAUUGCUAUCCAUGAAAUUUGGCAGAAAGAGACUCCUUUCUCUCCCAUUUACAACGGUGUAACUCACUUAAUUUAAUAUCAACUCUACCACUUUCUAUGAAUAAAAAUAGGUUUGAGGUUUAAUAAUUCUUUGUUUACUUAUUUUAAAUGCUCAUAACUUUCUUCCUGGAUUAUUGCUAUCCAUGAAAUUUGGCAGAAAGAGACUCCUUUCUCUCCGAUUUACAACGGUGUAACGCACUUAAUUUAAUAUCAACCCUAGCACUUUCUAUGAAUAAAAGUAUGUUUGAGGUUAGAUUGAUAUUUAUUUCCAACAUAAAAAUGCUCAUAACUUUCUUCCUGGAUCAUUGCUAUCCAUGAAAUUUGGCAGAAAGAGACUCCUUUCUCUCCGAUUUAUAACGGUGUAACGCACUUAAUUUAAUAUCAACCCUAGCACUUUCUAUGAAUAAAAAUAGGUUUGAGGUUUAAUAAUUCUUUGUUUACUUAUUUUAAAUGCUCAUAACUUUCUUCCUGGAAUAUUGCUAUCCAUGAAAUUUAGCAGAAAGAGGCUCCUUUCUGUCCCAUUUAUAACGGUGUAACGCACUUAAUUUAAUAUCAACCCUAUCACUUUCUAUGAAUAAAAAUAGGUUUGAGUUUUAAUAAUUCUUUGUUUACUUAAAUCAAAUGCUCAUAACUUUCUUCCUGGAUCAUUGCUAUCCAUGAAAUUUGGCAGAAAGAGACUCCUUUCUCUCCCAUUUACAACGGUGUAACUCACUUAAUUUAACAUCAACUCUACCACUUUCUAUGAAUAAAAAUAGGUUUGAGUUUUAAUAAUUCUUUGUUUACUUAAAUUAAAUGCUCAUAACUUUCUUCCUGG